UACGUAGGGUGCGAGCGUUGUCCGGAAUUAUUGGGCGUAAAGAGCUCGUAGGCGGUCUGUCACGUCGGAUGUGAAAACUCGGGGCUCAACCCCGAGCCUGCAUUCGAUACGGGCAGACUAGAGUUCGGUAGGGGGAGACUGGAAUUCCUGGUGUAGCGGUGAAAUGCGCAGAUAUCAGGAGGAACACCGGUGGCGAAGGCGGGUCUCUGGGCCGAUACUGACGCUGAGGAGCGAAAGCGUGGGGAGCGAACAGG
rnacentral:rRNA from 1 species